GAGUUUGAUCCUGGCCAGGAUGAACGCUAGCGGGAGGCCUAACACAUGCAAGCCGAGCGGUAGGGAUUCUUCGGGAUCUUGAGAGCGGCGUACGGGUGCGGAACACGUGUGCAACCUGCCUUUAUCAGGGGGAUAGCCUUUCGAAAGGAAGAUUAAUACCCCAUAAUAUAUUAAGUGGCAUCACUUGAUAUUGAAAACUCCGGUGGAUAGAGAUGGGCACGCGCAAGAUUAGAUAGUUGGUAGGGUAACGGCCUACCAAGUCAGUGAUCUUUAGGGGGCCUGAGAGGGUGAUCCCCCACACUGGUACUGAGACACGGACCAGACUCCUACGGGAGGCAGCAGUGAGGAAUAUUGGACAAUGGGUGAGAGCCUGAUCCAGCCAUCCCGCGUGAAGGACGACGGCCCUAUGGGUUGUAAACUUCUUUUGUAUAGGGAUAAACCUUGCCACGUGUGGAAAGCUGAAGGUACUAUACGAAUAAGCACGGGCUAACUCCGUGCCAGCAGCGCG
rnacentral:rRNA from 1 species